AUGACAAAACGUCAAGCUGUGGAGGCACUUGAUAGAUCCUUGCAAGAUAUUACUGGUGUUCUAUCUCCAUUUGGAGGAAAGGUCAUAGUGUUAGGAGGAGAUUUCAGACAAGUUCUCCCUGUAGUGAGGCAAGGCACAAGAGCACAAAUUACAGAUGCUACACUAAAGAAAUCGUAUCUUUGGCGGUGUAUAAAACAAAUAAAACUAUGGCGUAAUAUGAGAGCACAAUCUGAUCCAUGGUUCUCAGAUUUUCUGUUAAGAAUUGGUGAUGGUACAGAAGAAUCAAUCGGCCAAGAUUAUGUGCGCCUACCAGAUGAAAUUGUUGUACCAUACAUAGAUCCAAAACACUCUGUCAGUAAGUUAAUUAAUGAUAUCUUUCCUUCACUUGGCCAGAAUGGAAUAUCACCAUCUUAUAUUAGUACUCGCGCCAUUCUCUCCACCAAGAAUGAAUAUGUUGAUGAACUAAACGAGAAGCUUAUUGAUCGGUUUCCUGGGGAAGAACAAAUCUACUAUAGUUUUGAUUCAGCAGUGGAUGAUCCACAUAACUACUACCCACCUGAAUUUCUAAACUCACUCACACCUAAUGGCCUGCCUCCACAUGUCCUUCGACUGAAGAUUAAUUGUCCUGUGAUUUUACUUCGCAAUCUAGAUCCUUUUAACGGAUUGUGCAAUGGAACAAGACUUAUUAUCAGAGCAUUUCAAGAGAACGCUAUUGAUGCAGAAAUAAUUCGCGGGCAACAUGCUGGGAAAAGAGUAUUCCUUCCACGAAUUCCUCUAUAUCCUUCAGAAGAUGAUGUACUCCCCUUCAAGUUUAAAAGCAAGCAAUUUCCAAUUCGACUCAGCUUUGCAAUGACAAUCAACAAAGCUCAAGGUCAAACUAUUCCAAAUGUUGGCAUGUAUCUUCCAGAGCCGGUGUUCUCUCAUGGUCAACUCUAUGUUGCUUUAUCAAGAGGGAUGUCAAGACAAACAACAAGAAUACUUGCAAAGCCAAAUAAGGAAAUUGAUCCAUCGGGAAAAAGCACCAAAAAUAUCGUCUACAAAGAUGUCUUGAUGUAA
rnacentral:rRNA from 1 species